UUCGAUUUUUGAGGAAGUAAUCAUGUUGGGAGUCUGGCUCUCGAGAUUCGGAGGGCGGUGCCUCUUCGAUUUUGGAGCAAGCAAUCUUGUUGGGAGUGUUGUCUCGAAUGUGAGUAAAGGUUGGGCAUGUUUGCUAGUCUACCUUGCCACGAAGCACAAAGGUUGACACACAGGGACUUUCCAAUUAUCCAGCAAUGGUACUGUUCCUUUACCCUCUCUUCGAUUUUGAGAAAGUAGUCAUGUUGGGAGUCUGGCUCUCGAGAUUCGGAGGACGGUGCCUCUUCGAUUUUGGAGCAAGCAAUCUUAUUGGGAGUGUUUUCUCGAAUGUGAGUAAAGGUUGGGCAUGUUUGCUAGUCUACCUUGCCACGAAGCACAGAGGUUGACACACAGGGACUUUCCAAUUAUCCAGCAGUGGUACUGUUCCUUUACCAGUUGUGGGUAAUAAUAUGGUAGCUAGACCUUCAAAAUUUAUGUGUCUAAACUUUUGUUAGUGCUGUUUCUUUGCUAUUCUUUUACCUUUCUUGGUCAGAGCGAUGUAGUGGGAGCUGCAAGCUUCACGUGCUCAACUUUGGCAGAGAACUUUGGCAAAGUUAUUUGUGGUACCCAUGAGCUAUUGUUGCGUGUGGGAAGUGGGUGAUUGAACAGUAAGAUUCAUGUGCUUUCUACUUCACCAGAAGUCUUCGACAGAAUGCCCAUAAUUUCUGCAAAGCUGAGUGUGCGUGUGACAGGUGCUGACAAGGCUAGAAAAGUAGGUGCCUCUUCGAUUUCUGAGAUCGGCCCUCGUGGUCUCUGAGCAGCCCAGCUUUUGAGAAAGCGAGCGCCUCUUCGAUUGAUUCGGAGAACGAUGCCUCAUCGAUUUUUGAGAAAGCAAUCAUGCUGGGGGUCUGGCUCUCGAAGAUUCGGGGAGCAGUGUCUCUUCGAUUUUUGAGAAAGUAAUCAUGUUGGGAGUCUGGCUCUCGAGAUUCGGAGGGCGGUGCCUCUUCGAUUUUGGAGCAAGCAAUCUUGUUGGGAGUGUUUUUCUCGAAUGUGAGUAAAGGUUGGGCAUGUUUGCUAGUCUACCUUGCCACGAAGCACAGAGGUUGACACACAGGGACUUUCCAAUUAUCCAGCAAUGGUACUGUUCCUUUACCCCCUCUCUUCGAUUUUUAAGAAAGUAGUCAUGUUGGGAGUCUGGCUCUCGAGAUUCGGAGGACGGUGCCUCUUCGAUUUUGGAGCAAGCAAUCUUAUUGGGAGUGUUUUCUCGAAUGUGAGUAAAGGUUGGGCAUGUUUGCUAGUCUACCUUGCCACGAAGCACAGAGGUUG
rnacentral:lncRNA from 1 species